ensembl:snRNA U1 U1 spliceosomal RNA
UCUCCCUCCUGGCAGGGGAGAUACUGGGAUCAAGAAGGCAGUUCCCCCAUGGCGAGGCUCAGCCAUUGCACUCCGGCUGUGCUGACCCCUGCGAUUUCCCAAAAUGUGAGACUCUCAACUGCAUAAUUUUUUAAGGGGCAGGGGUGACCUAGCCCCAUA